rnacentral:rRNA from 1 species
UACAGAGGGGGCAAGCGUUGUUCGGAAUUACUGGGCGUAAAGGGCGCGUAGGCGGCCUUCUAAGUCAGACGUGAAAUCCCUCGGCUCAACCGGGGAACUGCGUCUGAUACUGGGAGGCUUGAAUCCGGGAGAGGAAUGCGGAAUUCCAGGUGUAGCGGUGAAAUGCGUAGAUAUCUGGAGGAACAUCGGUGGCGAAGGCGGCAUCCCGGACCGGUAUUGACGCUGAGGCGCGAAAGCCAGGGGAGCAAACGGG